rnacentral:rRNA from 1 species
GGAAUUUUCCCCAAUGGCGCAACCCUGAUGAAGCCAUCCCGGGUUAUGAAGAAGCCUUUCGGGUUGUAAAGUACUUUCAGCAGUGAGGAAGGUGGGUAUGUUAAUAGCAUAUUCAUUUGACGUUAGCUGCAGAAGAAGCACCGGCUAAUUCCGUGCCAGCAGCCGCGGUAAUACGGAGGGUGCGAGCGUUAAUCGGAAUUACUGGGCGUAAAGCGCAUGCAGGUGGUUUGUUAAGUCAGAUGUGAAAGCCCGGGGCUCAACCUCGGAAUUGCAUUUGAAACUGACAAACUAGAGUACUGUAGAGGGGGGUAGAAUUUCAGGUGUAGCGGUGAAAUGCGUAGAGAUCUGAAGGAAUACCGGUGGCGAAGGCGGCCCCCUGGACAGAUACUGACACUCAGAUGCGAAAGCGUGGGGAGCAAACAGGAUUAGAUACCCUGGUAGUCCACGCCGUAAACGAUGUCUACUUGGAGGUUGUGGCCUUGAGCCGUGGCUUUCGGAGCUAACGCGUUAAGUAGACCGCCUGGGGAGUACGGUCGCAAGAUUAAAACUCAAAUGAAUUGACGGGGGCCCGCACAAGCGGUGGAGCAUGUGGUUUAAUUCGAUGCAACGCGAAGAACCUUACCUACUCUUGACAUCUACAGAAGCCAGCGGAGACGCAGGUGUGCCUUCGGGAACUGUAAGACAGGUGCUGCAUGGCUGUCGUCAGCUCGUGUUGUGAAAUGUUGGGUUAAGUCCCGCAACGAGCGCAAUCCUUAUCCUUGUUUGCCAGCACUUCGGGUGGGAACUCCAGGGAGACUGCCGGUGAUAAACCGGAGGAAGGUGGGGACGACGUCAAGUCAUCAUGGCCCUUACGAGUAGGGCUACACACGUGCUACAAUGGCGCAUACAGAGGGCGGCCAACUUGCGAAAGUGAGCGAAUCCCAAAAAGUGCGUCGUAGUCCGGAUUGGAGUCUGCAACUCGACUCCAUGAAGUCGGAAUCGCUAGUAAUCGUGGAUCAGAAUGCCACGGUGAAUACGUUCCCGGGCCUUGUACACACCGCCCGUCACACCAUGGGAGUGGGCUGCAAAAGAAGUGGGUAGUUUAACCUUCGGGAGGACGCUCACCACUUUGUGGUUCAUGACUGGGGUGAAGUCGUAACAAGGUAACCG